UACAGAGGGUGCAAGCGUUGCUCGGAAUCAUUGGGCGUAAAGGGCAGGUAGGUGGUCUCGUUUGUCUGGGGUGAAAGCCCAGGGCUUAACCCUGGAAGUGCCCCGGAAACGGCGAGACUGGAGUCUUGGAGAGGGUCGUGGAAUUCCCGGUGUAGCGGUGAAAUGCGUAGAGAUCGGGAGGAACACCAGAGGCGAAGGCGGCGACCUGGACAAGUACUGACACUCAACUGCGAAAGCAUGGGUAGCAAACAGG
rnacentral:rRNA from 1 species